rnacentral:rRNA from 1 species
UACAGAGGUCUCAAGCGUUGUUCGGAUUCAUUGGGCGUAAAGGGUGCGUAGGUGGCGAAGUAAGUCUGGUGUGAAAUCUCGGGGCUCAACCUCGAAAUUGCAUUGGAUACUGCAUCGCUAGAGGAUUGUAGAGGAGAGUGGAAUUCACGGUGUAGCAGUGAAAUGCGUAGAUAUCGUGAGGAAGACCAGUUGCGAAGGCGACUCUCUGGGCAAUUCCUGACACUGAGGCACGAAGGCCAGGGGAGCAAAC